rnacentral:rRNA from 1 species
AGCAGCCGCGGUAAUUCCAGCUCCAAUAGCGUAUAUUAAAGUUGUUGCAGUUAAAAAGCUCGUAGUUGAAUUUCGGGAUCAAUUUGUUGGUCGUGCCUCGGUACGUACUGGUAUUAUUGGUUUCUCCCUUCUGAAGAACCUCGAUGCCAUUAAUUUGGUGUCGUGGGGAAUCAGGACUGUUACUUUGAAAAAUUAGAGUAGUUUAAAGCAGGCUCACGCUUGAAUACAUUAGCAUGGAAUAAUGAAAUAGGACGUUUGAUUCUAUUUUGUUGGUUUCUAGGAUCGACGUAAUGAUUAAUAGGGAUAGUUGGGGGCAUUAGUAUUCAAUUGUCAGAGGUGAAAUUCUUGGAUUUAAUUGAAGACUAACUACUGCGAAAGCAAUUUGCCAAGGAUGUUCUCAUUAAUCAGGAACGAAAGUUAGGGGAUCGAAGACGAUCAGAUACCGUCGUAGUCUUAACCAUAAACUAUGCCGACUAGGGAUCGGAUGAUGUUAAUUUUUAAUGUACUCAUUCGGCGCCUU